rnacentral:rRNA from 1 species
AUGUAUCCCUUCUUGAUAUGCUUCUACUAUUGCAGCAUCACAAACAGACUAAAAAAUGCUUACAUUGAUAGCUACAGUUAUUGUUGCUCUUUUCUUGCAUAUAAGGAAGAAAGCAUCAUGACAGUAGCAUGGCUUGGCCCGGCAGUGAUCAUGGUAGCCUGCUUGGUGUUGUCCCUACUCUCCACGCUGAAACAACAACAAGAUGUAGGCAUCACAAAAACAACAACAAUACCAUGUCAUGUUGCCACCAGCCCGGAAACAACAACAAGAUACGUGUGGAGUGCACUUGCUGUGCGCAUGUACUGUGGACGAGUCGGCUAUCUUACUGUACUCUGCAGGUGUGUAUUCCUUCCACUGUUCAUGGAAAUGUCCAGUGAAAUCAGUCACCUGGAAUUUGGCCCCCGGCCCUCUACAGUAGCAUCAACAAGGUCACAUAGUCCUUGA